AAGCCAUGAUGAGGGCAUUUGGUUUGAUAAACUUUGAAGCGUUCCCAAGCUUCACAAAAGGUUUCCGUUUGCUUGAGUGAAUCUGGAUAUCUCAUUCCAGAGUCU